UACGUAGGGGGCAAGCGUUGUCCGGAUUUAUUGGGCGUAAAGAGCGUGUAGGCGGCCAUACAGGUCCGUUGUGAAAACUCGAGGCUCAACCUCGAGACGCCGAUGGAAACCAUCUGACUAGAGUCCGGAAGAGGAGAGUGGAAUUCCUGGUGUAGCGGUGAAAUGCGCAGAUAUCAGGAAGAACACCCGUGGCUAAGGCGGCUCUCUAGUACGGUACUGACGCUGAGACGCGAAAGCGUGGGGAGCGAACAGG
rnacentral:rRNA from 1 species